AUGGACACCAUGGGACGGGGCGACAAGUUAAAGAAGUACGGAUCAAGAGAUGUUGAAGGCUCAAUGAGCGGCAGCGGGAAUGGCAAAGGUGGCUCAACUCCUCCACCACCUUCAAGCAAUUCAGGAAACCAUUCCAAGGGCGUGGAGUACACACGCCGGUCACCGUCAUUGCCUAGCGCCCCGCCGCUUGUACUAAAGUCGCAUAGCACAGCGCCAUGGACUAAGCGUAGCUACCCGAACCGCAACUCAAAGAAUUCUGACGAGACAUCCAUCUCUCUUGAUGAUGACGCUCCACCACUAGGGAACCUCAAGGACAAACUUGACGACGUGUUGCCGUUCAUGCCUAUGAGCCACGGUAUGGAGCAACUCUUAGACGAGGUGAUGGAAAACAUGGACCAAGAUGAGUCAGCCUCAAAAUCCGCACCUCCGGACAAGUCUAGUUCGGUGGCGAAGCACACGCCCCAGGCGGCGAGUGAUCCAGCUGCGAAUUCUUCAAGUGUGGCAGGGAGCGAUCUCGUCGUAAAACCCGCCUCCCUGGUGACAAAGCCCGCUUAUUUAACCACAUCAACAAGCACCCCCGAAGUCGACAAAAAGCGUUCAUCGGGUGCUAUCAGUGACAAGGAUGUUGGGAUAACUGCAAAGAAACCAAGGCCGUCUGCUUGCGAUGUUUCUAGCAAAUCAACUAAUCUAGAAGGCUUUUAUUCCCCUGAGGCAAAGGAGCUCCGUGUAUUAAUUGAGCAACACCAAAAUAUCCUUGCUAGAGAAAACACUCUGCUCGAGAAGCUCAAAGUCCCUCCGACUAAUAACAUCUCAAUGCCAAGCCUUGUUCUCCCACCCGGAAUAGCAGCAAAGUACAUCUCAAUAGGACUCAAGGAUAGACAAGAGGCGCUAAGGGGGCAGCCGAUCAAUGAGCUAACCAACUAA
rnacentral:rRNA from 1 species